rnacentral:rRNA from 1 species
AUGGAGACGGAUAAUAUAGGAAUUGAAAUGGAAGCUCUUGAGCUCGUGUUUAGUGAUGCAAGUUCAGAGCCGAUGAAACUAUCCUAUGGACUUUUGAGAUCUAUUACGGACAAUUUUUCAAAUGAAAUUGGUUGUGGUGGGUUUGGAGCUGUUUACUUGGGACAUAUAGGAAAUGGGAAAGUUGCCGUGAAGAAGUUUUCCAAUCCACAUGCUUUGCCGGAGAAGCAAUUCUUGAGUGAGAUCACAUGCUUACAAAAGGCGAAGCACCAGAAUAUAGUAAGAUUUAUAGGCUAUUGUUCAGAAAUGCAUGGGGAAUUGCUUGUACAUAAUGGAGAAAAUGUAAUGGCGGAGGUACAGAAGAAGUUGCUCUGCUUUGAAUAUGUUCCUAAUGGUGACAUUCGACAAUAUCUUCAACAAGAGAAUCCUCAGGGAGAUGACUGGUCUGUACGCUACCAAAUGAUUAGAGGAAUUUGUCAUGGGUUGCACUAUCUUCAUGACAAGCAAAUUAACCAUCUUGACCUGAAACCUGAAAAUAUUAUGUUGGAUGCUAAUAUGAAACCAAAAAUUACAGAUUUUGGUUUGUCAAGAUUCUUAGAUGAAGGACAAUCCAAAAUGGUUACGAAGCACAUAGUUGGAACACUGCGAUAUAUUGCACCGGAAAUCAUAGAUAAAGGAGAAAUAUCAUUUAAGUCAGACAUGUAUGCUUUGGGCAUUGUUAUCAUAGAACUAUUAACGAGGACCAGUAUGAUAAGUCUUGACAAUUGGGAUGAAUCGAUAGACGUGGACUGCCCUCAAAUGAGGAUGUGCAUCGGAAUAGCACGAAAUUGCACGGAUUCUGACAAAGAUAAGAGACCAACCAUAUGGCAAAUAAUCCACGAGUUGGGCGACCUGGAAAGCAUGAUUCUACGGUCUUCCAUAAACCAGAAGGCUGGAAACAUGACACGUUGUGCUUGGUCCGUGUUAGUAGCAUUUAUCUCGUUUCAUGGAAUUUUCACCCCACCUGGUGGUUACAGAACUGAUGGCACACCAACAUACUCUGGAACAUAUUUCUUCGACGCAUACAUCCUGGCUGUAAUAAUAGCAUUGGGUUGCUCCGCUUCAGUAACCAUCAGUCUCAUGUACGCUCGAGUGGCUUUGGUGGAGUCUCGCACCCGGCUUGGCCGCUUUGUCAUAUCAGCAACCUAUUUUUGUUUAUUCUGCUCGCUUGCAAGUUCCAUUGCUGCCUAUGUGCUAGGCACGUUGUUUUUGGCUCCUGAUGCGCACAGGACGGCAGCUCUACUUUGUUCAUUGGUGUUCCUUGUAGUACGUAUGUUGGGGUACAUGGUAGGACCUACAAGAGCCAUUUCUGUUGCAACAACCCAACUUGUUCGAAUGGGCAGAAAAGCAUUUUUCGUCUUCUCACGUGUUGUUGUUAUCUCCCUGCGAACACUGGCAGCAUGUUGGCCCUUAGUAAUAAUCGUCGGUUGGACUGCCAUUUCCAGAAAAUAUGGAGACAAUAAACUUACCUGGAUCAGUUCCCGUACAAAAGAUGUUGCCAAGGUACAUUCACUUAAAUGA